CCUACGGGGGGCAGCAGUGGGGAAUAUUGGACAAUGGGGGGAACCCUGAUCCAGCCAUGCCGCGUGUGUGAAGAAGGCCCUCGGGUUGUAAAGCACUUUCAGUGAGGAAGAACGCCUGGUGGUUAAUACCCAUCAGGAAAGACAUCACUCACAGAAGAAGCACCGGCUAACUCCGUGCCAGCAGCCGCGGUAAUACGGAGGGUGCGAGCGUUAAUCGGAAUUACUGGGCGUAAAGCGCGCGUAGGUGGCUUGAUAAGCCGGUUGUGAAAGCCCCGGGCUCAACCUGGGAACGGCAUCCGGAACUGUCAAGCUAGAGUGCAGGAGAGGAAGGUAGAAUUCCCGGUGUAGCGGUGAAAUGCGUAGAGAGCGGGAGGAAUACCAGUGGCGAAGGCGGCCUUCUGGACUGACACUGACACUGAGGUGCGAAAGCGUGGGUAGCAAACAGGAUUAGAUACCCGAGUAGUC
rnacentral:rRNA from 1 species